UACGAAGGGGGCUAGCGUUGCUCGGAAUCACUGGGCGUAAAGCGCACGUAGGCGGCUUCUUAAGUCAGGGGUGAAAUCCUGGAGCUCAACUCCAGAACUGCCUUUGAUACUGAGAAGCUUGAGUCCGGGAGAGGUGAGUGGAACUGCGAGUGUAGAGGUGAAAUUCGUAGAUAUUCGCAAGAACACCCGUGGCGAAAGCGGCUCUCUGGAACGGUACUGACGCUGAGACGCGAAAGCGUGGGGAGCGAACAGG
rnacentral:rRNA from 1 species